rnacentral:hammerhead_ribozyme from 17 species
CAAGCGUCUGGGGUAAGGAAUCGCUGCCAUCAGCCCCACUGAUGAGUCUCUCUCUAGGCAGUGACUUCGAGACGAAACGCAAA